CAUGUAUAUGUGACGAACGAACACAAACAACUUGUGGACAUAAGACUUUUGGUAGACUCUGGUAUAUGUGAUGAAUGAACACUAAAAUAAUUUUUUUUUGACAAUCCAUAAGACUGCAGAACAUUAAAACUUCUUGAAAACCAAAACCAAAAAUUCUUUUAAAACGCAAGGACAAAACCACAAAAUUGGAGUGGAUAAGAAAAAGAA
rnacentral:lncRNA from 1 species